UUUCGGUAUUCCUGUGUUGCUUACCCUUGGMAAGGAAUUUGAUGGUUUCGGAGAUCGCAUCCGCCUUGCUCCUUUCGGGGUGUCGGGUGGACGUGAGGCAAGCUUGGUGUUGCCCCGUGUCGAGUAUUUUAAUGCUCGGCCACUGUGGCGCAUGGAGUCUUGGCCUAAGCUCUCGGAUGCGGAAUGCUUUAUGUGUGUGUUGGUGUGGGGUCUCGGCCUCUUCUCGUCCAAGCUAUACACGCAUUGUCCCUUGACAUGAAUGACUGCCGCGCCCGUCUUUGAUCGACCGAAUCGAGCCUCAUUGUGGGGCUUCGAGGAGGGCRGCUCAUGCGGG
rnacentral:misc_RNA from 1 species